AAUACACAACAGUUUCCUCUCCUCAACAAGCCACCUGGUACAAAAGUGGAACCUAGUUGCAUGUCCCUUUCCAACUUUAUAAUUGGUUGACUUUGUCUUAUGGUUUCAAUUUCAUCUCCACAAAGCAACAGACCAGAGAAAAAUCUCUUUACCAAGGUGUACAAGAAGAAAAGUGGAUUAUGAUGUUAUAGUCAGACAAAGUAAAUGAAUGAAGGAUGGAUGGAGCACUAUCUUUAGAUUAUAGCCAUUAGAAAUGUUAUGGAAGAACAAGCAGCAAUCUUCCUAGAUAAAAAUGAUCCUGCAAACAACAUUGUCUGUCAGAUCCUAGAUUUGUUAACCUUCUGGACAUUCUGAAAGGGCCAUUCCCACCCCCGCGCCCCCAGCCCAAGAGUUCAGAGAGGGAGAUGUGCUGUGGGAAGAGG